GUAAAGUCCAGUUAGUUCUCUGCUAAAUAUAUCUUGAUUGAAAUAUAUGUUCCUCUUUCUAUCCUAAAAUAUCAGCUCUGGGGCAGAGGUCAGGUGUAGCUGAAUCUUAUGUGCUUUCUACUUUCUCUUCUCCCAGUAAACACUUAAAGAACUAUUUAGUAUUGUUUAAACAACAAGUGAUACGAAAGCCUGCAUGGGAAAUGAGGCAGGAUAUAUAAUUUAGGAGACUUUUUUGGUGUAUAAUUGGAAACAUCUUCAUUUACCCCACUGAACCUAUGUAAGUUUUGGGUGCUUGUCCACGUAUUCUGUGCUCACGUGACUAGAUCAGGCCCUCAUGCCUCAUUAACAAUGCGAUCGAUUUUGGCUGUGGCUGUAAGGAGAAGACUGAAACUGCCACUGGAGCACCUCAGCAAAAGCA
rnacentral:lncRNA from 1 species